rnacentral:rRNA from 1 species
AUUACCGCGGCUGCUGGCACGUAGUUACCCGGUGCUUUUUUCGAAGGUACCGUCACCCGAAGGCUUCUUCCCAACUAAAAGAGGUUUACAACCCGAAGGCCGUCGUCCCUCACGCGGCGUUGCUGCAUCAGGCUUGCGCCCAUUGUGCAAUAUUCCCCACUGCUGCCUCCCGUAGG